rnacentral:rRNA from 1 species
UGGGGAAUAUUGCACAAUGGGCGCAAGCCUGAUGCAGCCAUGCCGCGUGUGUGAAGAAGGCCUUCGGGUUGUAAAGCACUUUCAGCGGGGAGGAAGGCGGUGAGGUUAAUAACCUCAUCGAUUGACGUUACCCGCAGAAGAAGCACCGGCUAACUCCGUGCCAGCAGCCGCGGUAAUACGGAGGGUGCAAGCGUUAAUCGGAAUUACUGGGCGUACAGCGCACGCAGGCGGUCUGUCAAGUCGGAUGUGAAAUCCCCGGGCUCAACCUGGGAGCUGCAUUCGAAACUGGCAGGCUAGAGUCUUGUAGAGGGGGGUAGAAUUCCAGGUGUAGCGGUGAAAUGCGUAGAGAUCUGGAGGAAUACCGGUGGCGAAGGCGGCCCCCUGGACAAAGACUGACGCUCAGGUGCGAAAGCGUGGGGAGCAAACAGG